CGCCCCCAGCAGCUCCCCACUCCCCCAGCCUGCCCCCACCCUCCCCACAUUCCAAUCUUUCACUGUCGCCCCAGGCAACUUGGCUGCCCAAGACCAAGCCCCACCGAGAAGCUGGAGGGCCAGGCGAGUCCAGGAUGGGCAAGCAAGGAGGCAUGAGAAGGAGAAACAGAGCUCCUUAUCAGUGUAAUUGUGGGGACUGGUCACCAGCUCUUGCUUGAGCUUUUCCAGAAGAAACUUCACUACUGAAAUAUUCCAAGAGGACUUGAUGCUGCCACAAAGAGAAGAGAAUGAAUAAGGUUGUCCGCUUUGUAAGAGCCAGACAAACAGAGGUACCCGGCACUAAUCAACUUUGUGGCAAAUCCCUCCAUGGCCUAAGAAGAAUCCCUAGCAGCAAUCCUCAAGAGCCCCAGCCGAUUAGAGAGAUGCCUCUUUGAUUCCGUCCCAGAGCUAAAGAUUGGAACAACUGUCCCUCCCGCUCUAAACCCACAGUCUGCCACAAGAACAUUUUAAACCUUCCUCCAUGAUGAGCAGCAAAACUCCCUGACUGGUCCUCCAGAUCCUUCUCAAGCACAGAAUAGAGAGAGCAUGAUGGUGAGUGAGCAUACUGUCCUUCCUGCACGUCUUCAGUUCCACCACACUCUCCUAAGGGAAGGAAGAAGCCAGGCCUCAACGCUGUACCUCUCUCUGGAGGCAGCAGGCACAAGUGGAAUGGAAAUGAUGGAAAAUCCUGCUUUUAUGCAAAUUGUAACUAUAAACUCAUUAUAGUCAAUAUGAACAUUGUAUGGCUAAAGAAUAUCUCCAGCCGAGCGCGGUGGCUCAUGCCUGUAAUCCCAACACUUUGGGAGGCCAA